CAAUAGCAUCAGCAAUCUACCAAAAAUUGGGUGUUCUUCGUUAUAAGCUUUUUGCAAUUCAGCAGUUCUGCAAGCUUUGUCAUUUCCAAACGUCAAAUCCACCCCAAUUCCACUAACAUCUACUAAAUUGAUGCGAGGGACUCUGGCACUAGAAUGGAAAUCAGCAUCAGCAUCCAAGUACUUUCUUAAAACCAUGGUGACGCGUCGUUUCUCCAAUUCUCCAACUCGAGGUGACUUCAAAGAUACGUCUACAUCACUUAUAGAUAAUGUUGUUCCAAUAUACAUGCUACCGUAUACUUGAAGUUCAGCAUCCAAAACGACCUCCCUAAUGUGAGUCUGUAGUUUCUCUAACAAAAGCUUUCUGUACUUCAAUUCCUCGAUUUUCGGGCUUACGAACUCCAAAAAUGAAUAAAGUCGAGCAUUAUCACUCAAACCUUCUUCAUUCCAUGGUACUGAAUGCAGCUCUAACAGGACUUUACCCAUUCUUAAGAAAUGGCAUUUUGGCUAAUUUUAAUAUCAAUGGAUUC